rnacentral:rRNA from 1 species
GACGUAGGGCGCGAGCGUUUGUCCGGAUUUAUUGGGCGUAAAGAGCUCGUAGGCGGCUUGUCGCGUCGUCCGUGAAAACUUGGGGCUCAACCCCCAAGCUUGCGGUCGAUACGGGCAGGCUCGAGUUCGGUAGGGGAGACUGGAAUUCCUGGUGUAGCGGUGAAAUGCGUAGAUAUCAGGAGGAACACCGGUGGCGAAGGUGGCUUUCUGGACAGAAACUGACGCUGAUGCGCGAAAAGCUAGGGGAGCAAACAGG